GGUAGAGAUGAAGGGAUGGUACUAGUCUGCAGUAAGUGUUGUGAUUAUGUGUUUUCAAGUAGAAAUUAGGGCUUAUUGUCAGAAAUAGGUAUAUAAAAAUAAUUUCUCAAUUAUAGAGAUAUAUUUGAAUUCUAAGUAAUUAUAUAUGUUAUAUAUAAAAUUUUAUGUUUUUCAUGUUUUGUGCCCAGUGAUAGUGGAGUGCAACGGUUUGGUCAUUAGAGUCACUUAAAUACUGUUGAGUAUCUUAGAAUUAGCGAGGUAAGAUAAUUUGACAUUUGGAAUAUUGGGAUGUCACGUGGUUAUGAUUUUAGACUAUUUUAUCCCUAAGUUAUUAGAAUACUUCUUAGUGAAGUAAAUGGCAAAUCAGUCUUUUGGCCUUUAAUUGAUUUUGUUGGGAGAUAGUGGAUUUUUUGUAGUAACCUUUAGAUUAUUUUAGGAUAAGCUUUGCUGAAUAAAAUAAAAGCUUUAUUAUUGAUAAAUAUCAGUCUAAAAGAAAAAGCCAACUUCUCCAUUUUGAGACCAUAAGUCAAGGAGUAUUCAAUGUAUGAUUCAAGGAUUGUGAUAGCCAAGCUAAGGGCCUUAAAUCGUCGAGCAACAGUUUCCAUUCAGAGUUACCAGUAUACUUUCAUUCAGAAUCAAGAUAAGAGCCGGAAUUAAAUCAGAAUGAGUCUAGAGCUGGAUGAAGAUUGUACAUAUCAAGAAAAUUAGACUUGGAGUGUUCGGGUCUUCGCAACAAGUUAGACUCAUUUUUUAAUAGUCGCUAGGCAACAACUUUGUAAUAAAUAUAUUUUGAAAGCAGUUGUGAAACUUUUAACGGGAUCGGGAUCCCAAAACUAUGUAAAUUAUGUUUAAUUAUUAAAGUUUAAGUUUAUUUAAGAAAGUUUUAAUUAAA